UAAAGUAUCCAUAGAAAUAUAUAUAAAGCAUAUGUCACUUAAAUACUCUACAGAACAAUAUUAAACAACGCGCUGAUAUUUCGGUAAUUUCAUGGAAUUAGGCUUAACAUCGAAAAACCCUCCGGCCCUGGGGAGACACACGCUAGAGAGACUGCCGGCCUCAGCGGUAAGCGCGCUUUCGCGCUUUGCGUCGCGAAAGGGUUAAAUUCAAGUUUAAAUAGUAACU